GCCCCCAACUCCGGGUUCAUUCAUGACGCCUAACCGAGCAAGGUGUUCAAGUCGUUCUUGUUCUCUUCUUGCUCUAGCGUUUUCUCUUUCAAACAGGCGGAUGUCGUGAAUCUCUUCUACUAAGUUUGCUCGGCCGUGACUUCGUAGGUUCAUACACCUUUAAAACAAGAGCAAAGAUUCAAGUAUAAAGGAUUAGUAACUAAAGUAAAAGGCUUAGUCUCAAGCAAAUAUGAAAUCCUAAUGGCUAAUAACUAUUGCAAACCGGCAACGGCGCCAAAUUGAUGUAGCAUUUAUUUCAAUUAAUUAUCGAACCACAAUUUACAAUUAAUCAACUCACCAAGAAUACAC
rnacentral:sRNA from 1 species